rnacentral:lncRNA from 10 species
GAGGAAAUGAAAUUCUGUUUAAUCAGCCUUAUUCUGCUCUCUCAGUCCUGAAGUUCUUGCUCAUCUCUUUUCAGAUAACCCUUCCACUGCCUUUUUAAUGUCCCCAACUCUGGCAUUUUUAAAGAGAGGCUUAUCUCUCUUUAUCUGGCUUAAACAAUCUUAACUUAUAAUCACUAUCCUAAUGUCUAUCAGCCAAAGUAAGCAAUCUCCCAACAGCAAGCUUUACAAAAGGUGACUUUCUUUUUGACAGUGCCAUAACUAACACUGGCACUGUCUUAGGCACUGUUAGAAUAGAGAAGUUUGAGAUAGUUGUCUGCAAAAAGCUUGAUAUUUUGCUAAGGAAGAAUACAUGACAAAUGUUAAGACACAAGGUCACAUAUAACAAGUUGUCAAAUUUUGUGAUAAUAAAGAUAGCAAUCAUAGACAGGAAUAAACAGUGGCAUUUGAAGAAGUAAAGAAGACUUUAAGAAUAAAUUAAAAUUUAAAUUCUUUAGACUUUUUGAAAGAGGAUGAAUUUGAACAGGAGUUUAAAGGGAUAAUGGGAAGUAGACUUUUGAUAACAGGAGGAAAUGGCAUUGAGAGGAUAGGUACAUUGUGAAUAAAGGAGAGAGGAGGGUAAUCUAUCUGGAUGAAUCACAGUAAUCAAUUUGGCUCUAGGAUCUGACAUAAGAAAAGAGAAAAUAAGAAAAGCUAUAUAUAAAACAAGAUGAGACUGAAAUCAUGGGUACUCUGAGUGACAACCUUAGUGACCUUAAGACUUUAACCUCUAGCUUUGGAAGCUGCCUCAAAGACUUAAGAUACCUCCUAUGUCAGAUUCCAUGUCUCUCAGUUGAAACAUUUAAAUCCCUUUCCUCCUGUUCAGAAAAAUAAGCGGCGUUGCCAGCAAGCCAACCUCAUCUUAUUGAGUUCAGAUACUAGUAGGUGACAUUAGUAAUGAAAGAUUAGAGGUGUGAACUUACUCCAUUUAUGUUAACAAGGUGCUAAAUGCAAAGGCCAAUUACGGCUACCCCUGAACUUCAACUUCCUGUCUCCUGACUAACCAGUGAAUGAGCUUGAUCAGGGUAUGGCUCUUAUUCUGUGGUAUUUAUAGUAUUCUCAGCUGAAACUUAUUGGAUUCUUGAAAGUGUGGGUUGUGGACUCCUCAGGGUAUUGAGGAAUUUUGUGGGUUCCCUAUAAAUGCCCCCUGGUGCUUUCCAGAACACCUGGAAAUAAAUUCCAGCUUCUUUGACUUCCCAUUUCUUCUGAUGCAGGGUUAUUAAAUAUGAAAUAUUGCAUGCUGAAAUUCACAUAAAACAGGCUAAUUAGUAAUAGUAGGAAGUGGGAGCAAGGGUGCAAAUAGUAAGAAAAGGAUCACGGAGGGGCUAAGGUUAGAGAUCUGCAAUUGCAAAAAUAUAGGAAACUCAAUCCUUUUCCAAUGGUUCACUGCCUGGCUUUGCCUAACAAUCCUCCCCUGCUGACCUUCUUUUGUUCAGGCUAUUUUUUUCUGCUUGUGAAAUCUUUAAGAAAAUAAGCAUUUUAUUAUAGAAUAGUUUUAGCUUUUCAAAAAUGUUAGGAGUAUAUAGUUUGGAUAGUUUUCAAAUAUGUCUCAUCCAAAUAUUGAGUUAUAAGAAAAUAGCAUGACUUAGACCUGUUUCACUGUAGAGAGGAAAGGGCUUCUUUUCUUAAUUUAAUUUUUACCUUCAUCAUAUUCAAUGUUAUGCUAUAGUUAAAUCAGCAGAAAUUCUGAUAGAAUAAGUUUACUACGAUGAUAUUGUGACUCAGGUCCAUAAAUACUGCUCUUUGUGCCUACAAAAAAGUUACUUAAAGCAUAGAUAGUGAACCUCUUCUAGUCAACAAAAAAGGUAAUUUACCAGUCCCAAAGCAACAAGAACCUUAAGCCAGAAUUUAAAUAUUCUGUACUGUUGAGUUUCUGGUAGCAAAAAUUGAUUUGCUUUCUGGUGUCAACCUGUGGUACCUUCCUACUGCCUUGUUUUGAAAAGAAGAAAUGAUACUUUUUCUCAUCCAUUUCUUGGUUCAUGGCUGAGAAUCCUAUAACGAAAGAGAGAUUAACAAGAGAAAAAAUACAAAUGUAUUUAACAUAGUGUAUUAGUCUGUCCUCAUACUACCAUAAAUACCAAAGACUGGGUAAUUCAUUAAGCAAAGAGGUUUCAUUGACUUACAGUUCCACAUGCCUGGGGAGGCCUCAGGAAACUUACAAUCAUGGCAGAAGGUGAAAGGGAAACAAGGACCUUCUUCACAGGGCGGCAGGAGAGAGGAGUGGGGGGAAAGGCGAGACACUUACUUAUAAAACCAUCAGAUCUCAUGAGAACUCACUCAGUAUCAUGAGAACAGCAUGGGGGAAGCUGCCCCCAUGAUCCAAUAACCUCUUCUAGGGUUCCUCUCUUGACAUAUAGGAUUACAAAAUUCAAGAUGAGAUUUGGGAGGGGACACAAGACCAAACCAUAUCACAUAGGUUUUAUGUGACAUAGGACCUUUCAAAAUUGCAGACUCAAAGAAACAGAGAAAUUUGUGAACUUUUAUGGACAAUGGUGCAGAAGUAUUACUAGAGGACAAUAAAGUAUGACUUAAUGUUAAUAACCUGAGGCAAUUUAGCAAGGCCUGGUUGUUGCCAGAUUCUUACUGGCAUCCCUGUGUGACAUUCCUUUACUCUGGGUAUAGCAGGAACCCUCUGGAAUGAGGGUUUUAUGACCUGCUGUAGAGGAAAUUUAGAGAAUUAUUUUAUGGCCUGCUUUAGGGGAGAAAAUUGAGGGGAAGGUGAGAGUGACUUUCCUACUUCUGCUGUGUCCUCAAAUACUGAGAUGCCACAUUUGGGGAAAUGGUAUCCUGAUUUCCAUUACUUUUCUACCUGCAGAUUCCUACUUAUUCUUCAAACCCAUUCCAUCUACUGAAAACCCUCUACAACCAACAAGAUUUUUUUCACCUAAUUGUAGUCUUUCUUUGGAAAUCAGACACAACUGAAUAAAGGGGCAAUGUCCUACACCUUUAUGCAAAAGUUAGGCACACAGACAAGGUUUAUAAAGUAUGUUUAAUUGUAUAAACCUCACUUGUUUUGAGUUAAAUUGAAAAGGAAUGAGCCCUAUCAGCAGGCCAUAAAGGAAAUACAUGUAAUUCAUAGAGUAAUUUAGAAUGUUUUUGAAAAGUAGUGAAUGUUGACACAAUUAAUGUUACUGAAAAUGAAAUACUGAAGAACGUUAAAUGAACAAUAACUUGUUCACAUCUACAACUCUUUGGCAACAUUUUUGGUUUGAUCUUAGGCUACUAACUUACUUAGUUUUUACUCUCUAUUACUUGCAGUGGUAAUGUUAUAAUACGUUUGGUUAUUACCUCGUGUAUUUGUUACAAAUAGAAAAACUUCUUGUUUGUUUUGUUUAUAAACAGAUAAACUUCUUAUAAAUAAAAGAGUCAGACAUGAAUGACAAAUAUAAUUCAUUUCCUAUGUUCUAAUCAUGUACCUUUUACUAGUAAUAAUGCUACCAAAAUAAGUAGUCUUUGUUGAACAAGGUCAAAUAACCAUCCAUCACUAUAAGCAGAAAGAUGAAUUCUAAGAUCUAGUCUUAUUGUCUAGAGCAAUAUUCCUCAAUUGAGAAAGUUUUUUUUGGCCAGGCACAGUGGCUCAGCACUUGUGGGAGGCUGAGGCAGGUAAACUGCUUGAGUCCAGGAGUUCCAGACCAGCCUGAGCAACGUAGCAAAACUGUCUCUACAAAAUACACAAAAAUUAGCCAGGUGUGGUGGUGUGUGCCUGUAGUCCCAGCUACUCAAGAGGCUGAGAUGAGAGGAUUGCUUGAGCCAGGGAGGCAGAGGUUGCAGUGAGCUGAGAUCAUGCCACUUCAUUCCACUCUGUGUGACAGAGUGAGACCACGUUUCAAGAGAUUUUUUCCCCAUAGGUGAUAUGGUGAUAUUUGGCAACAUCCAGAGGUUCGUUUGUUCUUUCUUUCUUUCUUUCUUUCUUUCUUUCUUUCUUUCUUUCUUUCUUUCUUUCUUUCUUUCUUUCUUUUUCUUUCUUUCAGCAAGGGCAAGGGUUUACACUGCUGGCAUCUAGUGCAUAGGGGUCAGAAAUAUUACUAAACAUACUAUAACACACAGUACGGUCCGUACAACAAUAAUUAUCUGGUCUAAGAUCUCAAUAGCACCUUAUUUGUGUUGAAAAAAAAAACCUAUUCAUAAAGCAACAGAAGUCAUAAGUGUUAUAUGUGUCAGAGAACAGGGAAGGGUAUCUAACCCAAAUUUAGUGUUCAUAAAAUUUUCCUAGAAAAAAUAACUCCAGAGAUAAAUCUCUAAUAUGUAAGAUUGUGUAAUAAGUGAAGUAUUGAUCAGGAAAGUAAAGUGGAAAAGAGUCACAAAGGCAGGUUGAGCAGCGUACAGGGAUGCAUGAAAGCAUCAAUCAAGUAGCACCUGAAGAAAACGUCAUGCAGUUUGGUGUUAACUGAAUGUGAGGCAGGGAAUGGGUGGAGAUGAGGAAGAGAGGUAGGAAGGCAGGUUCUCUGGUGGUCUCGGGCCUUUGCAAAGGUAAUCCACAGAAAGGAAGAAAACGCUCAUGAGCUUCUGUGCGCAGAGACUUCAUAGACUGAAAGUUGAGACCAAUAUGUGAGAUAAUAAAUCAUAUGUGCUCUAAUUGCUGUUGUGGAGAGACACACAGGGAACAAAGGCAGCAUAGAGGAUAGGGAAAUAAUCAAAGCAGGGGUAGACUGGAAAGGCUUUCUGGGUGAGGCAAUACAGGUUACAUUUAAACCCAAUCCUAAUACGUGAGACUCAGUAAACUAGGUGAUACUGGAAAGUGGUAAGGAAUUUAUUCCAGACAAAGAGAAAGAGUACACAUAAGAGGGGUAAAAAUGAGUUAGGACAUUUUAAUAUUUUAAGCAGUCCAGUAUGGGUACUACACAUUGCAUAAGGAAACAGAAGGGCGGGGGAUAAGGCUAGAGAAGAGAGAAUAAACACCAGACAAUCAUGAAGUUUUUUCCUAUGGCAAUGCUAAGCAUUAGAGUAACCAUAGAACGCCAUUUUAGAUUGCAAAGCAAGGGAGUAACCUCAUCAGCUCUGUGCCUUUGGAAAAUCACUCUGAGUAGAUAUCGUGGGUGGAGGCACCAGGGCUGGAGACAAGAAGGACAGUCAGGAGACCCUGAGGACCAUCUGAGGAAGAGCACCCGGUGGCUCCAUUGAGAUGUUCUAACUUACAUGGAAAAGUUAUCUGAUGAUCACUUUCAAAAUAUGAAGGGGAUCAGAUUUUCAUGGGACAAAUUUGUUAAGUAGUUCCCUACGUGUAUCACCAGUCUAGAAAAUGAGGAUAUAUAGGUAAAUCAAAUGUGGACACUGACCUCUAAAAGUUUCAGGGCAGACAGAACUUGUGUAAUGAUCUGAAACCUAAGGUAAGAAGUGAUGCACUCCAUGAGAAGGGUGCGGAUACAUUGCAAUGGGAACGCAAGGUAAGCAGAAGAUAACUUCCGAACAGAGAAUAAGAAUGACUGCACCAGGAUGAUGGCACUAGGGCAGGCUAUUAACAGUUUAUAAUUUAUAUUAGAAUGAUAGGUGACAAUUACUAAGCACUUACAUGUGCGAAGGGCUUCAUGCACAUUAUCUUCUUUAAUUCUUAUAAGGAUUCUAAGUGUUAAGUAUAGUCAUCUCCAUUUUACAGAAGAGGGAACUGGGGUGUAAAAAAAGUUAAUAGGCUUGUCCAAGUAUAUAGAUAUUUGGUUCCCUACUAAAAAAGAAAAAAAAUAGAAUUGUUUCAAGGAAAGGUUGUCUUUAAUAGUUUAUCACACAAUUCAUUCUCAAAAUUGGGCACUGGUCAAAAAGAUUCGGUAAUUUUUUUUUUUUUUUUCAUACUGACCACCUUUUUCUAUGUCUGCCUGAAAAAAAAAAUAAGGGUAUCAAGGUAUCCUGGGAAAAGCCACCCCUAUUAGGCCUCCAGCCAUCUUCAGAUCCACACCUCAGCUCUUCUCGGUCCUGUGGGAUGUGAACUCCGUGAGCCUUCCAUUCUCUUGCUUACCUCUGCCACUCUAUGCCCUGCUGACGUCUUACUAAUUUUUCUUAUUCAGUAACUUGUCCCCUAAACUGUCUCUCCCAACUCUCUUUUAGGUAAAAGUAUUUAAUGUUUUCCUUAUUCACACCUUUCUUAGACCCCAAUUUUAGCCCUUAUUCUGAAGUAUGACUCCCAGGCAAACUGAAAGACAGAAAAACAACCACUUUAUCCACCUCGAUUUUAACACCUAUAAUAUUGCAUUCUGAUGAUGAAAUUGUGUGUCUCAUCAACUAAAUUUUGAGCUCCCCAAAGCUGGAACCAGGUCAUAUAUAUCACUAUGCUUCUAAUAUUGGCACAAGACCUGACACAUAACAGACAAUGAGUGAAUAGUGAUUAAAUAAAAUUUAAAAAGUGUCCUUUUUAAAAAACUGUUUCUGGACUUAAUGGAGGUUCUCACAUUUUGGGAGACAAAUUUAUUUUCUCUAUUUGUUUUAAGCAGAAUGGGAGCUAUGGAAUCAGACCUGGGGCAAAAUCCUGGCUCCUUCUCUUUGUAGUUGUUCUAUUUGUAUGAGUUAAUUAAGCAUUGUGAAAUAUGAACAUUCCUAUAGACCAUAUUGAGGGAUUAUUGCAGGAAAUAAAUGAUAUGAUGAUUCUAAGUUCCUCAUCCCAGUGCCUAGUAUAAACUGAAUGAAAAGAAACUGGUUAUUAUUUUCAUUGCUAUAAUUAAUAAGCAAGCUAGUCUCUUGAUUAUCCUUAGCAAUCUAAAGUUUAUUGGGCUCACAAAGGCCUUUGGGCUAUUUUUCCCCUAAUUCCUUGACCUGUAAUGACAAAGCCUUAUUCUUUAAAAAUAAAAACUGUUAUUCCUUUCUUGAUUUUCAACAAAUUAUUUCAUGAUUAUCACAAUCCAUGUUUUAGCACAGGAAUGUGUGCAAGGACCAGGGCUUAGGACUUCAGUUCAUGCAUUGCGAUGCUCUCAUGACAGCUCAGAAUAGUCAGAAAUUGAGAUUACGCUAAUGCAAGAAGGGGAGACUAUGAUGCUCACUGUAUGAUUUAUAAGACUAAAGAAAAAGGGAAGAAGGAGUUUGUGAAGAGGAUGAUACACUUAUCCCACACUCAGACUGAGGAUAGCAUGUGAAUGGACACUCCAGUCAGGUAAAAGGUCUCUAAGAACAGAGACCUUAACCAUAUGGAAAUCUUAACCAUAGUGGAAAGUCCAUAUUCUAGAGAUAGAGUGGGUUUUACUUUGUUUUCUUUUUUAUUUUAAUUAAAAUAUAUGAACAUGUGUGACAGUAAACCAAUAUAAAGUAUUUCCAUAUGUCACUGAACUCGACAUUUUUCAAGAUUUGGUCGUAUUUGUUUCGUUUUCCCUUUUGACUUUUAUCCUCUGCAAUGAAAUAUUUUAAAGCCAAUUUCAGAUGUUUUAUCAUUUCAACUCUAUGCACUUCACAAAUAAUAUUUUCAAAAUAAGCAUUUUCUUUCUCUCAAAUCACACUAUUGUAAAUAAGAAUAAUUAGCAAUAUUCUCAAUAUUCCUUUAACAUUCAGCCCAUUUUCAUAUUUUCUAAAGUAUAUCAAAAUGUGCUUUCACAGUUGGUUUGUUCAUAUCAGGAUCUGAACAGAGACUACUGUUAAGCUUGGUUGGGUCCAUUCCUCAUGACUUUUUUUUUUUUUCAUGUCUUUGACUUAUUGCAGACACCGUGUGAGUUGUCCCUUGGAACAAAAAUUUCUUCUAGAAGCUUGAUUAACUUCACAUUUUUUAAAACAGUAGUUCAUAAAUGGUAAGGUACAUCAACUCACACAUGUCUGUUUAUCCCACUUUUAGUGGGGCUAAGAUUAUUUACAGGUCCAGGUUGAGAUUGUCUGAUGAUUCCAUAAUAAAGUUCAUCAUCAAUUUCCAUCUAAGAGUUUUAUCCAUUGAUUACAACUGCCUAAACUAAUUACUUUAUUUAAGGGGGCUGAAUGAUUAUUUUUGAAAUCUAUCUAGCUUCCUCCACAUAUUAACUGGGUUUUUGUUUUGGUUUGGCUUUUGGUUUUUACAGAAAAGAACUCCCCCUCAUUCUUUCUUUGUCAGAACACUAAAGUUUAAUUAAAUAGUAUUUCAAAAGUAAUGAAGAAUUUCACAGACUCUAUGUAAUAAUAAAUCAAGGUAAAAUAAAAUAGUACUCUAUAAUCAUAAUUUUAUGAGUAUUUUAUAUGGCUUAGGAGUAAAAAAAAAAAAAUGACUCUUUAAAGUUUUUGUUUGAUCUGCCCUUACAUAGGAACAGAUAAUUUGUGAGAUACUAUGAGCAGAUUUUUAGAAAAUAAUAAAAAUAUUUACAGGUGGGCAUGGUGGCUCAUGCUUAUAAUCCCAGCACUUUGGGAGGCCAAGGCAGGUGGAUCACCUAAGGUCAGGAGUUCGAGAGUAGCCUAGCCAACAUGGUGAAACCCCUUCUCUACUAAAAAUACAAAAAUUAGCCAGGC